AGCAGUCGCCACGGUAAUACGUAGGUGGCAAGCGUUGUCCGGAAUUAUUGGGCGUAAAGCGUGCGCAGGCGGUUAUAUAAGUCAGAUGUGAAAUCCCCGGGCUCAACCUGGGAACUGCAUUUGAGACUGUAUGGCUAGAGUGUGUCAGAGGGGGGUAGAAUUCCACGUGUAGCAGUGAAAUGCGUAGAUAUGUGGAGGAAUACCGAUGGCGAAGGCAGCCCCCUGGAUAACACUGACGCUCAUGCACGAAAGCGUGGGGAGCAAACAGGAUUAGAUACCCCCGUAGUCCCUGUCUCUUAUACA
rnacentral:rRNA from 1 species